AGCAAACUGGGAGCCAAACUGGAAGAGCAGCAAGAACUCUGAACAGACUCACUCCAAAUUCAUCCCAACUAGCAAGACUUCAACCAAGAACUCCCCAGUAUCAGAUCCAAUCUUCCAGUCUCAUCCCCAACGCUGUGGCAGAGAACCUUCUGCAAUCUCCCUUUCCUCUCUGACCCUAUCCCCAAUGAAUCACAGGGAUCUUCUCCCCAAACCUUCCUUCCUCCAACUCACCCCGGUAUCCCAGCCUCCAACACCUGCAGGCAUUCCCUGGGAACACAUCAGCUGAGCAGGCCAGGGAAACAGGUAAGUCAACUGAAGACCUUCACCACUCUUUUUUCCCCUCCAAGUCCAGUCCCCAGUCUCAUCUCUAUCUCUGCAAAAGACCAUCAGCUGCAACCUUCCCUGCUCCCCUAUUCCCAUCGCCUGUGGAUUCCAUGGAUGUUCCCCUUCUGGCCUUCCUUCUACCACUUGUUGCUUUGUCCCAGCCCACAACUCCAGCUGGCAUCCCCUGCUAACUAACCCACAGGUCAUGCCUGCCAGGGGACCAGAUAGGCUGCCUGCACAUGUUCUCUUCUCCCUCUGCUACCCCAGAUCCGAUCCCUCAGUCUCAUCCCCAGCUUGCAGCAGAACACCUGUGGAAGCCUUCCCUGCCCCCUGUUCCCAUCUCCUGUGGAUGCCCCCCACUCAUUGCUUUGUCCCAGCCCUCAGGCCCAGCAGGCUCCCCUACUAACCCAUAGGCCACACCUGUUAGAAAAGCAGGUAGGCUGCCUGCAGAUCUUCUACCUCUGUUCCCAUAGAUCCAAUCCCACAGUCCCAUCCAAAGCUCUGAAGCAGAACAACUGUGGCAGCCUUCCCUGCCCCCUGUCUCAUCACCUGUGGAUCCCACAGACCUUCCCCUCCUCAACUGUUGCUUUAUCCCAGGCCCCAACUCCAGCAGGCACUCACUCACUAGCUCAAAGACCACUCCUUCCAUGGAAGCAGGUGGACUGUCUGCAGAUCUUCCCUUCUCCUUCUGUUCCUCUAGAUCCAACCUUCCAACCUCAUCUUCAUUGUUAUAGCAGGUCUUCUGGGCUGAUCUCUCUUCACUGUCUCCCUUCAUUCCAAUGAGACAAAAUAAGUAUAUAUGGUGGAACACUCUGCUUUCCUCCCUCCUAUGAACCCCUUCAAACCCCUAGCCUAUCCCCAUUCCUAAAUGUCAGCUCGCAAUAUCCAGAAGCACAUUUUAUCUGGAACCUUCAGUGGCCACAACUCUCAAGUCCAAAGAGGAUUUCCUACCAGACAACCCAUGGCCAUCACACUCUCUGAAAAUCCAGAGAGAAAACAAAAACCAAAGAACAAAACACCCAUCUAACAAAGACAAAUCCAGGAAUCAGCACCAAAACCUAUAAUCAUCCUAAUACCAGAUGCCUAGAUAUUAGCAUAAAAACAAAAUCAAUAACAACCAGGGCAAUAUGUCUGCACCAAAGCCCAGCUAUCCUACCACAGCAGGUCCUGAAUAUUCCAACAUAGCUGAAAUACAAGAAAAAGACCUUAAAACCAGCUAUA